AAUGGAUAUGUUAAGCAAAUAAAU
rnacentral:miRNA from 1 species